UACAGAGGGUGCAAGCGUUAAUCGGAAUUACUGGGCGUAAAGCGUGCGUAGACGGUCAUGUAAGUCGGGUGUGAAAGCCCCGUGCUCAACCUGGGAAUUGCAUUCGAGACUGCAUGGCUAGGAUGCGGAAGAGGGAAGCGGAAUUUCCGGUGUAGCGGUGAAAUGCGUAGAUAUCGGAAGGAACACCAGUGGCGAAAGCGGCUUCCUGGUCCAGCACCGACGUCAGGCACGAAAGCGUGGGGAGCAAACAGG
rnacentral:rRNA from 1 species